rnacentral:rRNA from 1 species
GAUGAACGCUGACAGAAUGCUUAACACAUGCAAGUCUACUUGAUUCUACUUCGGUAGUUGAUGGUGGCGGACGGGUGAGUAACGCGUAAAGAAUCUGCCCUUUAGUUUGGGAUAACCUUUGGAAACGAAGGCUAAUACCGGAUAUUAUGGAGACGUCGCAUGGCGACUCCAUGAAAGCUAUAUGCACUAGAGGAGGACUUUGCGUCCCAUUAGUUAGUUGGUGAGGUAAUGGCUCACCAAGACCGCGAUGGGUAGCCGGCCUGAGAGGGUGAUCGGCCACAAGGGAACUGAGACACGGUCCUUACUCCUACGGGAGGCAGCAGUGGGGAAUAUUGGACAAGGGGCCACAAGCCUGAUCCAGCAAUUCUGUGUGCACGAUGAAGGUCUUCGGAUUGUAAAGUGCUUUCAGUAGGGAAGAAAAAAAUGACGGUACCUACAGAAGAAGCGACGGCUAAAUAUGUGCCAGCAGCCGCGGUAAGAC